ensembl:lncRNA
CGGCGCCUCCUGCUGCAGGAGGAGGAGGAGGAGGAGGAGGAGGAGGAGGGCGCGCUCUGGGCUUGCCCGAGGGCGGCGGCGCCUUCCGGAAGCGCCGGUCCGGCAAACCACUGCCGGCGCUGCCGACGGAGACGUCGGCGCCGCUGCCCGGUUACCACGACGAUCAGCGCCGUCACUCCAUCGAGGUGUGCUCGGCCGACCCGCUGGAGGCGGCGGCGGCGGCGAUCCCGCCGGGAGACCCCUACCGCCUCCUCCCGGGGCCGGGCGGCGGGGCGAGGAGGGGGUUCCCCACCAGGGUGCAGUCCAUGGGGGGGGGCUGCCAGCGCAAGAAGAGACUCAACCCGCCCUGCAUCUCCGUGCACCCGCCGGCGGAGCGGGACCACGCCCCCCCGGCGCCCGCCGCCCCCCCCACUCCGCCGCCGCCGCCGCCGUCGGACUGCAGCGUGAUGCUGAGGAGGAGGCCGCUGUCCUCCGACCUGACGCUCUCCGCCACCUGGGCCGCCGACGCCCGGCCCCCCGCCGCCGACCACGUGCCGCUCCGCGCCCACCCGCCACUGGCGCGCACCCUCACCCCGGAGCCGUACCUGCGCACAUGUGCGCGGGCGCACGCCGCCUCACGCACGCACCCCUCGCCGACCCCCAGUCCGAACAUCUUCGUCCAGCCGCACGCGCCCGUCCUGGCCAGCCCCGCCCACUUCCCCCCGCUGACGCACACCCUCUCCCUGUCCGCCCAGUGCUCGCCGAUCAGAGGGGACUACAUGCCCCUCCCCCAGUUCACUUUUGACCAAUCGGAGGCCGUGUACAUGAGCGGCCUCUCUGCGGGGAUACCGGACGCAGACGCCGCCAACUGCCCCUCGUCGCCCUUCGACAGCAGACUGGAGGACAGGGCGGGGUUUAGCGCCAAGAACAGACGGACGGCCCAAUAGGAGCUGUGCGUGGCCUCAAGGAAGUCAACCGGAUUGGUCGGAUUACAAACCCUUGAUGGUGUUCAGAAAGAGGGAUGGUCUCACUUAUUGGACGCUGGGGAAAGGGAAGACAUGUUGGAUACCGACAAAAAUAAUAUAUAAAAAGCCAAUUCCUUUACCUCAGAGCACAGAGACGAUGCAGUCCCGUGCUAGGUUGGAGGAGGCUGAGGCGGUUUGUGGGCGACAGAUUGCGAGGGUACCUGUGAAACCGCUUGCAGGGUACGCUGCACCCACUGUUGACGGUGUGUUGAGGAUUGAGUUGGUGCACCACACCGGGACUUGAGGCACCAAACUCCGUAGCCAAAGUUUUACGUUUUCCUUUUUGUUUUUCAUUCGUUUUUUUGGUCGUCGUCGUCCCCUCCGAAAACCACGCAAGCCAAUCAGGAAGCAGCGUCUGGCUGACAACCUCUCGACCCAUUCGGCGGGGAAGCGGUUCUGUGAAAUGCGAGCGUGUUGGUGGGGGGGGAAACUUCAGGUUUUCUGCCGAGGAGGGGUCUCUGAUUUUGCCACUCCUCUGCUCCCUGGAUCAUAUUGAUCAGAGUAGAAGUUUGCGUGUGUGUGUGAGUGUGUGUUUUCUCCUCUUUGUGAGUGUCCCCCCAUUGCCCCAUCCCCCCCCCCUCCGUUGUUACCAGUGUGUGCCGUGUGUGUCUUGCCUCUGCACAGACAAGGCAGGGCAUUGUAGUGUCUGUGUUAAACGGUGUGUCAUGCGGUGUGAAUAAAGAAAAAUAUUGUGUUUGUUGAGAUUUUAAAAAAAAAAAAGAAAAAGAAAAGAAUAAUGGCUCUAUCCAUAUGCACAUAUUUUUAUAGAAAUCUAUAAUGUUUUUUUGCACACAAUGAAUUUUGAAGUUCAACCUGCUUGUUUGUUUUUCUAUCUCCGUCGUCCUAUCGUGACUGUCUGUUUGUGGAGGGCAGAGAAGAAGAAACAGAGGGUGGCUGAGCGCUCACACCUCUUUCCAGACAUUGACAUGAAGGAGGCAGGAUUUGUAUUUUUUUAAGAUGACGACGAGGAUGAUGACGAGGAGAAGGAUGAUGAUGAUGAUGAUGAUGAGGAUGAUAAUGGCGAUGACUAUGAUGACGAUGACGAGAAGGUGUGUGAUGUGUUUCCGUAGCUGUGUCCCAGACCUGCUCAUCCGUAAUCUGGUGUGGCAAGCCUUAAGGAGCGGGGGGCUUCAGUGUUGAGGAGUUGGGGGGGAGUCAUGUUCUCUGAGAUGUUUGUCCGCUUAAGUCUGCUGUCUGAUCCCUUCGUCCACUCUCAAACCAAGCGUAAAGGGUGUCCGGUCUUGGAGCAGGACGUCACAUCCACCCGGAUCGUCUUGGGAGUCUGGGUGUUGUCUUGGAGUUUAUUUUUCGGAGACAGGGGCGUUUUGCCUGAAUUGGCAAGAAAACUAAAUGAUUUGUCCAAAUAUGUCGAAAAAACGUUACUCGAUGUUAUGAAUACAAAGCGAUCCAAAGUUGACCUUCGCUGGAAGGUCUAUCCGAGGUUUCGCGGACGGUGGCUGUGACAAGCAUCUCAUCAGGGGACAUGUUUUUCAGUGCCGGUUGUCAGCUGAUCAGCUCUGGGACCAGAUAGUGUUUCUGUACAUUUAAAGACAACCAAACUAACUAACCUAAUAAAUAUGUGUAGCCAGGGUGCAAUAAUAAUAAUAAUUAUAAUAAUUAUGAAUAAAUGCUUUGUUGAAAUAUAUGGACAUCCACACUAGAUAAGACAGCACCACUCUUUGUUGUUCAUACAUACUGUAGAAUUCCCAUAUAUAGUAUGUGUUAGAAGGCCAUUUCUAUAUGACAGUCAGUAUGUCUAUCUGUAGUGUUGAUGCUACUGUAUGUACCUGCCCCCCCCCCCCCCAACUCCCAUCCCCAUUGCACUUUGGAUGUGGUAUCAGAAUGGUAAACACCAUAGGUACUGUUUAAACCUUAGCACAGGUCCAGACCAUCCCAACACAUUCAAAACACAUUGAAUCCACCUAAUAGUGAACCCUGUAAGGCUACAGGCUGCAAAUGAACCCUGAAGCGCCUUCCAUUUGAAACACCUGUCACUCAUUGGGUCUCUAGGGCCCAGGCUCGGGACCAAAACAUUGCACACCAUAAAAAAAAAUGCACGUCGGUCAUCUGUUCCCCUAUUGGAUGAAUGCGUCUGGUAAUACGCUCCCUUUGUAGUCGUGGCUAGCAAAAAACGUUGGAUAAAAAAUAGGACAUUGAUCCGGCUGAUCCAAAAGGCUUUGGAUCCAGCGUUCCAGUCUGAGCGCUCCCAGAGGGGCCAUUUAGACCUGAGCCAGUAAGGGGCCUGUUUUAAACCGCCUGCUUCAACGGCAGCCACCGAAUACUUUACGUACCCAGGAUGGGUUUGGUGGCUCUUUUGCUCAGCCGUAGUAAAUCCGAAAUAGUAUUGAAUUGCUGCAUUGUUGCCAUGGGCAACAACUCCCUAACGCAUGCUCAAAGGGACACACACACACACACACACACACACACACACACACACACACACACACACACACACACACACACACACACACACACACAGGAAUAAUUUGGCUGACGUUGUGAAGAGAACAUUGUAAAAAAGAAAAGCAGAAGUGUUGUAUGUGCUGAACGCCUCAUUCCUUUCAACCUGCAUCCCCUUCUCCCUGUCCCCGAGCAGUAUGCAUGUACAGUAGAGGACAUGACAUUUAUGGGAAUAACAAUGUGCUUCAUGUUAGUGUUAUUUAUCGCUGGAGAAACAUCUCCCGUUUCUCCUGUUUUAUACCCUUUUGAUGAUAAGGAACUUUAAGCAUUGCUACAUUUAAUAGUUUAGAAUAUAGCGCCUGGUUUGGGCACUUUGCGUCCACGUUCUUUGACCUUUAACCUUACCUGGGAGAGGUGUGUCCUGAUUGGUUGACCUAUUUAAAACCAUAUUCAGGGUUGGCAAAGUUCAGACGGUUGUAGGAAGCUCACACGGAAGUCGGGCAGAUUUCAAAGAAAUGAUUUUUAAAAGGCUAAUAAGGUAUAGACAGAGCUAGGAAUGGAAGGAAUGGCCGUCUCAGCCAGAAGAAAUUAAAUGAAACGUAAGGGAAAGGAAUGGUCAAGGUCCGGAGCCAAUGUUCAUUGUUACUAAUGGAUAAAAGCACAGCUUGGUCAUCUUUGAUGAACUCUUCUUCCACUCUUCUCCUUCAGGCGUGUCGCCCCCUGCUGGCCACGUGUGUUAUGAUCAGUUUUGUCCCUACCUGUUAAUUUUCUGACAUGCUGUAGCCAUUUACAGUUGUUGGGGAAAUGUUUUGUAAAUGAUGGGGGGGGAGAGGUUUAUAUGAGAUAGAUGAGGAAUACGUCCUCUAUCUCAUUCUUAGUGGAUAAUUCUGACCACAAAUAGAGUAUUCAUGUUAAACAAUAUGGUAUUGGAUAGGGAUAUAGUUAUCAAAGGUUUGCAGAUCGUUGGAUCGUAUUUAAAUCCUCUUGUUUUAUCGAGGAAAGCAUUUUAUUGAUUGCAUGUUACACACGUUUUAAAGGGAUGGGGGGAGGGGAGAUUUUUCUUUUAUAUAUGGAUUUUUAGGCAAUUCAAUUUGUAGAUGAACUUACUGGUUGCACUGGCCUCAGAUGGAUUAAAAUGCAGUACAAGACCGAUCAAGUGAACCUGUUCUUCAACUACACGUGGCGGCGGGAUGAUGACACACUCCCUCUUGGUGUGAUUUUCUAGUGACGGAAAUGUGAAACAGUUGUCCGUCUCUUAGGAGAGCCGCCCUUCUGAUCGUGCUGACUGCUCCUCGUACUUCGCCCCCUUGUGGGGCAGACCCUCCUGUUUGAUCCGACGUCAAUUGUUUAUUUCGCUAGGGCCCCCUCAAUCACUUCUUAUUUGUAAUGGAUAGAUUUGGACAAAACUUUACAGGGUUGGACAUGUGGACGGUGCGGUACCAACGCAAAGUGUCCUUCGAGGACGAUCAGAAAUUCCAGUGGAAACUCAACUUUUAAUGGGUCCGACAGUUUUUUUUUUGUUUUUUUUAAGGGUAUAGCGAUUUACCACCUCCAAAGCCCACCGCCAGCCCCUUCUCCCGCCGAGCCUUACUAGGGAGGGAUGGAGGUUAGCGUCUGUCCAUCAGAGGUGGGACUAUUUUUCUGCAAUAACCCCCCCCUUCCCCACCCCCCAUCCCCUCCUCCCAAAAAAAUGACCAGAGAUGGGGAGGUGUUUCAGGCACCAACAUGUAUUUGGACAUGGUUCCACGUUGUAAUGUGGCUGAUACCUGUGUAAUGAUCAACCAAUGACCUGGAUGAUUCUCCCCGUCUAUUAAAAAUAUACAACAUUUUUUUU